CCGGCCUCCGCGCCCACCUCUUCCCUUCGGCUGGAGGCGCCAGGGGCUCCAGGAGAGGCGCGCACGCGCCGGAGCGCCGCCCGUUUUCGCCAGCUACCCUCUGCCCUCCGAGGCUCUAACGAUUAAAGGUCAUGAAGUGUUUCUCGCCCUGGAGCCCACCAGAGAGGAAGAACCCACAGACCACUAGACAUAAGGAUCUAGCGCUCCGAGAGCCUAACAACCGUGCGCGCACAGCAAACUCCUUCAGAGUGGGAGUCCAGCCCAAGGGGUGGAGGAAGCAGAGACCACACCCCAGCGGGCACGCAGCCCGAUUGGCCAAUCGCCACUGAAACCCUGCUCUCUUCUUUGAUUGGUUUUAGCGGUGACGCGCCCUCCCGAAUCCUCGCUUGGAUUGGCCUAUUUCUUGGUCCUGACCUGGACGGUGGCCAGAGGAGGACAAGAGACUUCUGUACAGGAUGAUUUGGGUGACAUCUGAGACACAGCCUCUCAUCAACAAGCGGCCGGGCUUCACGGACAGGACGGCGUCCUCUGUAGUGUCGAUGCUGCUGGUGGUGACUGAGAGGAACCGGUGGCAGAGUGUACUGAGCCUGCUGCUGCUGCUGCAGCUGCUGCGGUGUAGGAAUUGAACUUAAGUAGAGCUUCCUUCUUCACUUUAUGGAGGUCUCUGCUCAGUGGUUGCCAAUUCAGGGAGUCCUUCCCUGGCUACCCAUAUGAAACAGGAGUCCCAUUUACUUGUUUGCCAUCUGUCUCCCUCACUAGAAGAUGGUCAGACUGCACACCACAUUGACUUUUUACUCCGCCUGUCAGACUUCCCAGAGUUUGAGGCUGGAAAUGAGCACACAACAAUUUUUCAGAUGCUUGUUUUGGAUGAAGCAGAUAAAUAUGUUGAGCCAAGGGAUUAAGGAUCCAAUCCAUGGUUUACCAGAAAGGAAAUACAAGUAUACAGGUUGUGUUGCUUUCUGCCUCAAUACCAAUCGAUCUGUUGCAAGUCAUCAAAAAGUUCAUGAGACAAAUCCAUUUCAAAUUCUGGUGAAGAAGGAAGAAUUGAUCCUCGAAAGGGUCAAUAUCUUAUAGUAAUUUUGAAAGAGGAAUUAGCAGUGGGAAGAAAAUUGGGGUGGAAAGCUAUGGCCAUAAGCAUUGAAGAAGACAAGAGGAUUCUUCAUGACACUGAGACUUCCUGCCACACUGGAGUGGAGGAAAUUUCAAUGAAUGUGGCUGACCUGAUUCCUGGGAUGCAAUAAUUUUGAAUGCAGUACUCACUUUUACUGAGCAGGCAACCACCAUAUGCACUGAGCUUCUUUCUUUGGGAAUUUGAAUCUUGUCUCAAUGCUCAUAACAGAUCAGAAAAACAGAUUUUUGAUAGCAAAGCGACUUUAGUCAUGAGCUUUUGUGAGGGAAGUCAUUGGCUUUAUCCUCUUUCAAGUUAGGCUGUCAGAGUUGGGUAUGAAAGAUGAGUUGUAGAAUCUUUCUUCGAUAUUUAUUUUCUAGUUCUGUAAAAAUGGUUAUAUUGAGUGUUCACUAUCAUUUAAUAAUAUACUUGUGGACUAAAAGAUAAGUGCUGUAUAAAAACAGCCAAUUAUAUUCAGCUAGUGUAUCUGACGUUAUUGUAUUAGUCAUUAGAUGAAUAGAAUAAAUUUUAAAAUUAUUUUUUAAAGAAAAUAUUUGAAUUCAUUUGGUUUGCUACUGUAUUUUUAGUCAGUAAAGCUUUCUAUUACUGGUAAAUGUGAACUGGAGCCUUUUGCUAAGAACCAAUCAUAUCCUAGGGUUAAAUCCAAGAAAAUUAAUGAUAUAUUAAAUGUUCAAUAAAUUACAAUAAAAUAUAUAUAUAUAUU